rnacentral:rRNA from 1 species
CAGUCGCCACGGGAAUACGUAGGUGGCAAGCGUUGUCCGGAAUUAUUGGGCGUAAAGGGCUCGCAGGCGGUUUCUUAAGUCUGAUGUGAAAGCCCCCGGCUCAACCGGGGAGGGUCAUUGGAAACUGGGAAACUUGAGUGCAGAAGAGGAGAGUGGAAUUCCACGUGUAGCGGUGAAACGCGUAGAGAUGUGGAGGAACACCAGUGGCGAAGGCGACUCUCUGGUCUGUAACUGACGCUGAGGAGCGAAAGCGUGGGGAGCGAACAGGAUUAGAUACCCCCGUAGUCCCUGUCUCUUAUAC